CUGCUUGAGUGCCUUCAUCAUGGGAUAAGGCUGUGCACUCGUGGCCAUUGCGGGCAUCACGAGUUGGCGGAACGGUCAGUAGCCAUUAGGUCAGCUACAACCGAUGAAUGACUGGUAUUAUGCCGACCUUAUCCUUAUUGCAUCAAAAUCCCCUCUCUAUUUAGACCCCCCAUCUCUCUUUCGGUAAAUCCACCAUCGAGGCCCUCUCCCUCUUCCUUCCUCAUCUGCAGCGAUUGCCAUGGCACCUUUCCUAGUGCCACCACUCAACCUUAAAACCCCUUUUCCUCAAAACCCCAAUUUUUGCCUUAUUUUUCCUCUAAUUUGGAUGUCGUCUUCAUGAAUCCCGUUGGACUUUACCGUAGUCAGUUGUUACUCGUUGCUAUUGCCACCUCCAGCAAUACUACAAAAAUAUUUAAUAUUAGUGAUGGUAC
rnacentral:lncRNA from 1 species